rnacentral:lncRNA from 10 species
GCAGAAAGAAGGCGACAGCUGGCAGAGAAAUACGCGCUGACUCUGCAUCCCAAGGCCGACUCUGAGUAUCCCGCUAUACCAAGUCCAGGAAGGAGCCUGAUGCUGUCGAGAAACGAGGAGGAAAAAGUGACAAACAGGAAGAGUCAAGCAGAGAUGCGAGUUCUCCGUACCCCAGGACCGAGACAAUGGGGCUCAGGACCUGUGCAGGUGAAUCCAAGGACUAUGCCCUCCGUGGGGGUGACGGUGCUUCCGACCCGGAGGUGCUGCUGAACGUAGAAAACCAAAGACGAGGUCAAGAGCUGAGUGCCACCCGGCAGGCCCAUGACCUGUCCCCAGCAGCAGAGAGUUCCUCAACCUUCUCUUUGUCUGGGCGAGACUCCUCCUUCACCGAAGUGCCACGGUCCCCAAAGCACGUGCACAGCUCCUCCCUGCAGCAGGCGGCCCCCCGGAGCCCCUCCUUCGGUGACCCACAGCUAUCCCCUGAGGCCCGACCCAGUACAGGGAAACCCAAACAUGACUGGUUUCUCCAGAAAGAUUCCGAAGGGGACACACCUUCACUUAUCACCUGGCCGUCCAGCAAAUCACGGGUGGAGAGGUCGGCCGAAGGACCUGGCUUGCCCACCAGUGUGGAACGGGAGAGAGGGUCCCGGAAACCAAGACGCUAUUUUUCUCCUGGUGAAAGUAGAAAAACUUCCGAGAGAUUUGCAACCCAACCUGUAACUUCAGAAGAACGAAAGGAAUCAGAUAGGUAGGCACGCGUAUGUGCGGUUUCCUGGUCCAGGAACAUGGCAAUGACACAGGAGUUUUACCACACUGAUGGCCUUGAUGCUAUUUAUAUAGGAUGUUGGCGAUUCCAUAAUUCUUCCAUCUAAUCUAUAAGCAUUAUUUAUUUGGCUUACUUAAAAGUCUUUUUAAAGAAUGUUAGCCUUUACAGUGGUAUUAUGAUACAUACACAAUUUUACGUUGCAUUCAGAUAAG